rnacentral:rRNA from 1 species
GAUUAACGCUGGCGGCGUGCAUAACACAUGCAAGUCGAACGAUGAAACUUAAAUGAUUUCUUCGGAAUGAACUUAAGUGGAUUAGUGGCGGACGGGUGAGUAACGCGUGAGUAACCUGCCUUACACAAGGGGAUAGCCGUUGGAAACGACGAAUAAUACCCUAUGAAACUAUCACUUCGCAUGAAGUGAUGGUCAAAGUGUUAGCGGUGUAAGAUGGACUUGCGUCUGAUUAGCUAGUUGGUGAGAAAAAAGCCCACCAAGGCAACGAUCAGUAGCCGGCUUGAGAGAGUGUACGGCCACAUUGGGACUGAGACACGGCCCAGACUCCUACGGGAGGCAGCAGUGGGGAAUUUUGCACAAUGGUGGAAACCCUGAUGCAGCGACGCCGCGUGAUUUAGAAGGCCUUCGGGUUGUAAAAAUCUUUUGUAUAGGAAGAAAAUGACAGUACUAUACGAAUAAGGUCCGGCUAAUUACGUG